rnacentral:rRNA from 1 species
UAGAGUUUGAUCAUGGCUCAGGACUAACGCUGGCGGCGUGCCUAAUGCAUGCAAGUCGAGCGGGCUACGACCUUCGGAUUGUAGCUUAGCGGCGAACGGGUGAGUAACACGUAGGUAAUCUACCCUUCAGAGGAGGACAACCUCAGGAAACUGAGGCUAAACCUUCAUACGUUCACUGGUAGGGAUACUGGUGAAGAAAGAGUUACCUUAGUGGUAGCUGCUGAAGAAUGAGCCUGCGGCCCAUCAGGUAGUUGGUGAGGUAACGGCUCACCAAGCCGAAGACGGGUAACCGGUCUGAGAGGAUGUCCGGUCACACUGGGACUGAGACACGGCCCAGACUCCUACGGGAGGCAGCAGCAGGGAAUCUUGGGCAAUGGGCGAAAGCCUGACCCAGCGACGCCGCGUGGAGGAAGAAGUCCUUCGGGGCGUAAACUCCUGGACUGGGGGACGAGGAAGGACGGUACCCCAGUAGAAAGGGACGGCUAACUACGUGCCAGCAGCCGCGGUAAUACA